GGAUAACGUAGCGAAAGUUACGCUAAUACCGCAUAUUCUGUGAGCAGGAAAGCAGGGGAUCGCAAGACCUUGCGCUGAUGAGCGGCCGAUGUCAGAUUAGCUAGUUGGUGGGGUAAAGGCUCACCAAGGCGACGAUCUGUAGCGGGUCUUAGAGGAUGAUCCGCCACACUGGAACUGAGACGCGGUCCAGACUCCUACGGGAGGCAGCAGUGGGGAAUUUUGGACAAUGGGCGCAAGCCUGAUCCAGCCAUGCCGCGUGAGUGAAGAAGGCCUUCGGGUUGUAAAGCUCUUUCGGCCGGGAAAAAAUCGCUUGGGUUAAUACCCUGAGUGGAUGAUGGUACCGGAAUUAGAAGCACCGGCUAACUACGUGCCAGCAGCCGCGGUAAUACGUAGGGUGCGAGCGUUAAUCGGAAUUACUGGGCGUAAAGCGUGCGCAGGCGGUUUUGUAAGACAGGCGUGAAAUCCCCGGGCUCAACCUGGGAACUGCGUUUGUGACUGCAAGGCUAGAGUAUGGCAGAGGGGGGUGGAAUUCCACGUGUAGCAGUGAAAUGCGUAGAGAUGUGGAGGAACACCAAUGGCGAAGGCAGCCCCCUGGGCCAAUACUGACGCUCAUGCACGAAAGCGUGAGGAGCAAACAGGAUUGGAUACCCUGGUAGUCCACGCCCUAAACGAUGUCAACUAGGUGUUGGGUGGGUAAAACCAUUUGGUACCGUAGCUAACGCGUGAAGUUGACCGCCUGGGGAGUACGGCCGCAAGGUUAAAACUCAAAGGAAUUGACGGGGACCCGCACAAGCGGUGGAUGAUGUGGAUUAAUUCGAUGCAACGCGAAAAACCUUACCUACCCUUGACAUGCCAGGAACUUGCCAGAGAUGGCUUGGUGCCCGAAAGGGAGCCUGGACACAGGUGCUGCAUGGCUGUCGUCAGCUCGUGUCGUGAGAUGUUGGGUUAAGUCCCGCAACGAGCGCAACCCUUGUCGUUAAUUGCCAUCAUUUAGUUGGGCACUUUAACGAGACUGCCGGUGACAAACCGGAGGAAGGUGGGGAUGACGUCAAGUCCUCAUGGCCCUUAUGGGUAGGGCUUCACACGUCAUACAAUGGUCGGUACAAAGGGUUGCCAAGCCGCGAGGCGGAGCCAAUCCCAGAAAGCCGAUCGUAGUCCGGAUCGCAGGCUGCAACUCGCCUGCGUGAAGUCGGAAUCGCUAGUAAUCGAGGAUCAGCAUGUCACGGUGAAUACGUUCCCGGGUCUUGUACACACCGCCCGUCACACCAUGGGAGCGGGUUCCGCCAGAAGUAGGUAGCCUAACCGCAAGGAGGGCGCUUACCACGGCGGGGUUCGUGACUGGGGUGAAGUCGUAACAAGGUA
rnacentral:rRNA from 1 species